UACGUGAGGUGCAAGCGUUGUCCGGAAUUAUUGGGCGUAAAGAGCUCGUAGGCGGUCUGUCGCGUCGGAUGUGGAAAACCCAAGGGCUCAACCCUGGGCCCUGCAUUCGAUACGGGCAGACUAGAGUUCGGUAGGGGAGACUGGAAUUCCUGGUGUAGCGGUGAAAUGCGCAGAUAUCGGGAGGAACACCUAUGGCGAAGGCAGCUCGCUGGGACGUUACUGACGCUGAGACGCGAAAGCGUGGGGAGCAAACAGG
rnacentral:rRNA from 1 species